GAUGAACGCUGGCGGCGUGCCUAAUACAUGCAAGUCGAGCGAACAGACGAGGAGCUUGCUCCUCUGACGUUUGCGGCGGACGGGUGAGUAACACGUGGAUAACCUACCUAUAAUACUGAGAUAACUUCGGGAAACCGGAGCUAAUACCAGAUAAUAUAUUGAACCGCAUGGUUCAAUAGUGAAAGACGGCUUUGCUGUCACUUAUAGAUGGAUCCGCGCCGCAUUAGCUAGUUGGUAAGGUAACGGCUUACCAAGGCAACGCUGCGUAGCCGACCUGAGAGGGGGAUCGGCCACACUGGAAGUGAGACAGGGUCCAGACUCCUACGGGAGGCAGCAGUAGGGAAUCUUCCGCAAUGGGCGAAAGCCUGACGGAGCAACGCCGCGUGAGUGAUGAAGGUCUUCGGAUCGUAAAACUCUGUUAUGAGGGAAGAACAAAUGUGUAAGUAACUAUGCACGUCUUGACGGUACCUAAUCAGAAAGCCACGGCUAACUACGUG
rnacentral:rRNA from 1 species